rnacentral:misc_RNA from 1 species
GUGGACUACAAGGGUAUCUAAUCCUGUUUGCUCCCCACGCUUUCGCGUCUCAGCGUCAAUAUCGGUCCAGGCAGCCGCCUUCGCCACCGGUGUUCCUCCUGAUAUCUACGGAUUUCACUCCUACACCAGGAAUUCCACUACCCUCUCCGGUACUCCAGCCUCCCAGUUUCCAAUGCACUUCCCAGGUUGAGCCCGGGGCUUUCACAUCAGACUUAACAAACCGCCUACACGCGCUUUACGCCCAAUAAUUCCGAACAACGCUCGCACCCUCCGUAUUACCGCGGCUGCUGACAC